AUGCUUCAACUCUAGAGGCAAGAAAACACAUGCACGAAGCGAAGGGACGCUAAAUUGUUUGAUGACAGUUACGACCACUGAUCUAUACCUGCAAUGGUUACAAGCUUUCAGCGGCGAAUGUGGUAAAGUUGGAUAGUCGUGGCGUUGUCGGUCGUGCGAGUUUCAAAUUGGACAAAAAUAAAACGCUGCGAUCGAUUGUUUAAAAAACAUGGUUAGAGUUGAUUUCAAAGAAUAAUAGUUCAGAAGCCCUUCAGUUCAAAUUACUAUAAACGAUAUGUAUGUAUGGUUUCAAAAGAGCAACGAGAUGAGUGCAAUUUUUCUUUCAAAAUUCGUGAUUUGUCGGAUCAUUAUUUGGUAAUUUAUGAAUACGUGUUUCUCCAUUUGAAUUGCCGGAAGCUUAUCGUAUCGUGUGCUCUGCGUACAUCGAGGGAUUGACGUUUUCCGUUCAUGGUUUAUCAGCAAACUUGCGGCAAACUACAGCCAUUCUACAGCAAACCUUUUUUAAAUCAGUGGUGGUGGCACUGCUAGACGUCGAAAUAUCGUCAAGGUUCCUUUCAUCAAGUUCCCAUCAGUUUAUUCUAGACCACUGUAUCUUCGACGUUACUUGCAAUUGACAUUAACCUACGUGCAUCGUUGAUCGUGUUUCUCCGUAUUCCUUUGGCACUCAAAAAGUCUUCCAUGAUUUCACUACAGUCUCACAAUCAGGUGCUUUUCCACCUUACUCAGCUGACAUCCGCUGUCACCCCAAGGCGAGCAGAAUUGGCACGAGCCAAGAGCAGAGUAAAAUCUAACAAUGAGAAGGACAUUUUAUGCUACAAAAGCCUUGCCGAGGCUGCCAAUAACUGCACUGAAUUCCCACUGGAGCGGUUGAAUAUUCAAAACUUGGGGACAGCUCUACAGGUAAACAGGAGCGAAGUAUUGGAAAUCUUAAAGCACAUUUCACGUGGCUCAACUUCAAGGUUUCAGAGCUCUAAUAACAAAUGGAAGAUCUCUUAUCUGUCGGGGAAUAGUUUUGACGAAAAUAAACAAAGUGGUUUGAUAUGUAGACAUAAUUUUGAACGUCAUAGGAUAUUACAAGAUCUGUGUACAAGACCCCUUCAUCUGAAUGCCAUCAUCCGUGGAUUCAAAACUGAACGCAAUGUCAAGGCUGAGCUGGGAAGAAAUCCCAGUUUCAGCGGCAGAGUUCGUCGAUGGUUGGGACUAUCUCCACCAGUUCUCCAGUUCGAGAAGCUUGGAGUGUUAGCAAACGGAGUUGAGACACCACAGGUGGAAAAGUUACGAAGUAUGCUUACUGAAGGAGAAAUGAGUCCAAGUGAACAGCAACGUAUCAAAGUUGCAUUUGCCGAAGGCUACCUGGCUGGACAUGGCCAAAACUACCCUGUCCGUACCAGAAAGUGGUACAAAGUUAUCCAACAAAUAUUUAUCUUUGGGCUUCUCCUAGGUGUUUUGGGCUCAUUUUUUGGUGUGUAUAAAUCAAGUUCCAGCGGUACCAUGUUCAGAAUUCAACUAGGUAACCAAGUGGAAGUAGAUCCUGAGGACAUCGACGUCAAAUUCAGCGACGUCAAAGGGGCCGACGAAGCUAAGCAGGAACUGAAAGAUGUGGUAGAGUUUCUGAAAAACCCUGAAAAAUUCUCAGUCCUUGGUGGUAAGCUACCUAAAGGAGUUCUGCUUGUGGGACCACCGGGCACCGGGAAGACUUUGUUGGCUCGUGCCGUAGCUGGAGAAGCUGGGGUGCCUUUCUUCCACGCAGCGGGCCCAGAAUUUGAUGAAAUACUCGUUGGCCAGGGCGCCAGAAGAGUCAGAGACUUAUUCAAGGCUGCCAAAGAGAGAGCACCCUGCGUUUUAUUCAUCGACGAAAUUGAUUCCGUAGGGGCUAAGCGAACGAAUUCUGUCCUUCAUCCAUACGCUAACCAAACCAUAAAUCAAUUGCUGUCUGAAAUGGACGGUUUCCAUCAGAACGAAGGUGUCAUAGUCCUCGGUGCGACGAACAGGCGAGACGAUUUAGAUACUGCACUGUUGCGCCCUGGUCGAUUCGACGUCGAAGUGACUGUGCCAACACCCGAUUUUUCGGGACGAAAAGAGAUUCUUGAACUGUACCUAGGCAGGGUAUUAAGUAGAGACGUCAACGUGGAGAUAUUGGCAAGAGGAACAACCGGUUUCACUGGUGCAGAUUUGGAAAACAUGGUGAAUCAAGCAGCUCUACGUGCCGCCAUAGACGGAGCUGAGUGUGUCAGCAUGAAGCACCUGGAAAAUGCUAGAGACAAGGUACUGAUGGGACCUGAAAGGAAGGCAAGGUUGCCCGAUGAAGAGGCCAAUCUAAUUACAGCUUAUCAUGAAGGGGGUCACGCGAUCGUCGCUUAUUUCACGAAGGACUCCCACCCCUUACACAAAGUGACCAUAAUGCCUCGUGGGAAAAGUUUGGGACACACUGCUUACAUACCGGAGAAAGACAUCUACCAUACCACAAAACAACAUCUGUUAGCUAUGAUGGAUACAAUGAUGGGGGGGCGAGCUGCCGAGGAGCUCGUUUUCGGACCAGAUAAAAUAACGUCCGGCGCGUCUAACGAUUUGCAAAGAGCAACUUCAAUAGCUCUCGCCAUGGUUAAAGAAUGGGGUAUGUCAGAGAAAGUGGGUCUAAGAACGCACAACGAAGGUAGCAAGAGCUUCAUCACAGUGAACGAAGUUAGUCCAAAUUCUCAAGAACUAAUCGACAGCGAAGUGAAAAGACUAAUGCAGGAAUCGUACGAGCGUGCCAAAACAAUAUUGAAGGCACAUGCAAAAGAGCACAAACAAUUAGCAGAGGCUUUAAUAAAGUACGAGACGCUGGAUGCCGAGGAUGUCAAGGCUAUCAUGACUGGGCAAAGCACUCAUGAAAAACCAACUAAAAAAACAGUGACAGAAGUACCAAAAAAUGUCAUGUAAUAGUCAAAGGUGAACAUGAGAUUGGCAGUAAUUAUCGUCUCAUCUCUGGAUCUCAAUCUUCUCUAAUUUGCUUCAGAUCCAAUGAGAUGUAUUUUACCUUCAGUGCUGUAAGUAGUUUUCAAACAUUAAAGCGUAGCUGAUAGUAAGUGAUAUCAGUGGGGCAGCGGGGAAUAUGAAUGAAGAGAAAAAAUUUACUUUGCUUACAAAUUUCAUUUGUACAUAUAUCUAAAUUUAUUUCAUUGCGGCUCGUUUUCGUCGUUCACUUGCAGAGAUUGUGAUUGGCUUGUAAAGUUAGACACAUUAAAAAUAAUAUUCAACUUUGAAAAAAUUUUCAAUUAUAUUCAUGUCACAAAUUUUACCAGGCAAUCUUCGAGGAUGACAUUGAAAACAAUUAGGUCUACCUCGGAUUAUUUCAUUACCAUAUCGAAACCCCAAAUUUUUUUUUUUUCCUCGUUUAUAGAUAAUAUUUUCAGUGACGCGGUCGCGCGUCACAAGUUGACGUACCCUGUGUCCUCAUAUUAAAAAUUUUCAUGAACAUUACAAACAAUACAUGACGACGGACGAGUAAAAAUCUUCAAACUCUUAUGAACAAAGAUGUACAAUUUAUAAAACUAACGAAUUAAAAUAGAUGUUAUAAAUUUAUAAGUAACUAAUUUUAUGAGGAAUCACAUUAUUAUAUCUUGUAGAUUUUGUUGUUUUUUUUUUCUUUUUUUUUUCUUUCUUUUUUCUUUUAAAGCUAGAUCGUAGAGGUUGAAUUAUAAUACGGCUACAAUAAUGAUGAUGAUGAUAAUGACGAUGAUGAUGACGAUGUUGAUGAUGAUGAUGAUGAUAAUAAUAAUAAUAAUAAUAAUAAUAAUAAUAAAUCAAUCUAAGUAUCAACAGAUAAAAUCAUCGACGAGAUGAAGAAAAAGGUGCCAGCAUUAGGACACCAAUAAAUUAGUGCUAUGCGGUAUAAUUCAAUAAAAAAAAGCUAAAAGUACUCGCUACAACAAUUUUACAUAAUAAAAAAGAAGCCUACAGAGAAGGAAAAAAAAUAGAGAAAUAUUCAGUCCUAUAAAAUAAUUUGUACAUGUAUAAUAAUCAAUCACUUGUUUAUAUAUUUGAUAUUUUCAAUUCAGCUAAAUUUAAUUAAUAGUGAAUAUUAUCAUCAGAGCAUUGAAAUUUACAGUGAGCUCGUGAAUAUUAUUGUUUUGUUUAUUUUUAAUUUUUUUUCUUCUUCAAUGAAAAUAUCAAAGUGAAAUGUAAAAAGAUGAAGAAGCAUGGAUGAAAUACUUGCACGCAGCACUUUGUCUUCAAUUUCAUUACCAUAGUUGACAGAAAAAACGGAAAUAAAAGUUGAUUUGAUUCUUCAAUCUAAAGAACAUAUGUGUCUGUCCAAAGCACUAUUUAUGAAUGACUUCACAUGGGGGACCUCAGUAAGUGAAAACUAUUACGGCAAUGACAUAGAAACUGUGUAUCCUGCAACAAUUACUCGUGUACUACUCUGAAGGAAAAUUGAAGAUAUCCGUAUGAAAUAUUCAUCGACAGAGCGUUGCAACUGCGCUUCUCUCAGCUUAGCCGGCUUCUCAGCAGUCAAUACCGACGGUGAUGGAGAUGUGCCCUCUGAGGGGU